GGUGUUUGUCCUGUUGUUUUGUGUAUGUUUGUAUAUGUGUGUAUGGCCAUAUAUAUGCAUAUGUACAUAUGUAUGCAUAUGUGUGUGUGUGUGUGUGUAUGUAAUACCACUGAAGGUUAUCGUAUGACUUUUAAAACUGUGAACACUAAAGAAAUACAUCCAAAUUCUUACUUCUUUUAAACUUUGAACAUAUUAUCGCUCGUACCUUGAUGUCCUUAUCUGUAAAAUGGGAACAAUAAUAACACCUACCUCACGAGGUUGUAAAAUCGUACAUUCAGACAACUUACUUAGAACAGUCCCCUGAUUACAGUGAGUUCUGUAAGUGUUAGUGUCUAUCACUCAAUUUGAAGACCACUCUUUACUCAGGAAUUUAAUCCACCUUAUUUUCCUUUCACUCCAUGGGUUCUCCGUGCUAGAGCUCGAAUGGCCAACAGGUACCUUUGGCAGCAGGCACAUUUACCCUUCAAACCGUCUCAGUGGUUCAGUAGACGUAUAUUCAAAUCUGUUUACUGUAUGGACUUAAACAUGGCCACCUCAUGUCAGUCUCUCAAGUUUUAGUUUUCUAACUUAACCAGCUCUUCAAUACAAACAGCUAGAAAUGGCUAUGCUCUCCCACUGUGCUAUAAGAGAAGAUGGUGAUUAGGUAAUUCUAGGAAUUCAACAACACUCAAGAUCGUUUGUCUAUGCAAUCUGUCUUCCCUGCCAAUAUUCCAGCAACGUUUCGAGAAGGGAUUUGAUUAGGGGUCUGGAAAUCUCUGCAAAAUCAUGCACAGGUCUAGCCUUUGCCAGGAACAAUUAGUUAUUCUAUCCUCCUGCCCUUGGUGUCAUAUGUUGGCCAAUUUAUAAUAAAGCUUACUUGAUGGUGAUGAUGUCUAGGUGGCGGUGGUUUAGUAUCCUUUGUCACUUGACCAUCAGUCGAGACCCUAACUGAACAAGCUAUUCAUACUCGGAUGACUGGAAGACAUUGGAAGAUGCACAUGGGACUGACCAUCAUUCUGGUCACUAAUGAUAUGAAGACAACUAUUCUGAAGUGAUUCGGACUUUCUGGAAAUGAGAACCCAGGUAUUAAGAAAGUGAGAAUUCCCUCUCAGCAGUAACACCGAGAAGUUCUACAGAUCUCAGGAAGAUGACCUUGAAGCUCCCAGAAGACUGUUUGAGAAACCCCACCCCAUGUACGCUGCAGCAGUUCACGGACAAACUGUGCUUAACUCUGACCCCAGGGCUGCAGUAUGCUUACAGCAUUACGGCAUAAAGCCUCCUGUGUCCAGAAGGACACAGAUCCACGAAGGACAUUUUGUAUCUUUUAACCAACUGAGCUCACCCUGUUUGUUCCUCCAAGCCAGCUCUGAGUGUCCUGUUUCUUUCAGUGAGCAGAGGAAUGAUGCCAAGGCUGCAGGCCCUUGUCUGACUCUUGAUCUCCUCUCCUGACAACAGAGAGGAGGAGAGGCCUGCUGCUGGGAAAGUGAGUGACAGUUUCAAUCAGCAUUUACCUCGGCUUGGCGAAAGCGAUGCAAUCUAAAAGCUGACUCUGUGGGAGAAGUUGACAAUCACAAACCAUCCUGAAUUGUCCUUCGGAAUCAAGGUGAUUUGCUUACAUACAUGUUAUGCCACACGUGUCCAUAGAGACCAGAAGAAGGUUUCAGAUACCCCUGGAUCUGGAAUUACAGACUGCUGUGAGCAAUGGGAUGGGAAUCAACCCUGGAUCCUUGGAAGAGCAGCAAGUGCUCUUAAUCACUGAGCUGCCUCUCGAGCUCCCUCCCCCCCCCGAAAAAAGAAAGAGCUUCACUGUGAUCUGUGGCUUGCUAUUUAGGAUAGGCCUCCUGUAAAUCAAAUUCAGGCCCACACGCUUACACAGCAAGCACUUCACAAACUGGGCUAUGUCCCCGACCUACAGAUGCAUUAUCUUAAAUUAUUAUAAUAACCCUCUGUGAGAAUCUCCAUUAUACAGCUAAAGGAACCAGAACUGAAAAGGGUUUGGUCGUCAGCAUAGAUCACACAGCCUGUAUAUCCACACAGCCGCUCAUGUUUGUCUGGUUUUCCAGUGUAGGCACUGGCAGCUGGCAGUCAGUGUGCCAGUCCAUUCCUCUCUGCAUCUCUCUGCAAGACAGAGGUGUGUUUGUGAGGCAAGUCUUUCUAAUAAAACUUAAUUCUGGGGCAUUACCCAGGAUAGCCCACCCCACCAGACUUUUUACGUUCUUUCGCUGGUUUGUCUGUUUCUGUCACUCUUCCCAAACCCCAAGGUUCCAGCUUUGUGCGCCUUCAUUUCAAGGCAUCCAUUUCUUCUUGUCUGGAACUAGCCCAUCUCGACCUCCUUUUCACCUCAGAAGUCUCUCAAGCAAGCUAUGGUAAGCCAUCAGCCAACAAUCGCUCCGGCUAGCAAGUGUCUGAUCCUAAAGGUGUGUUCCAUGGGUUCACCACCAAGAAAUCUGGAGGCACAGAGGUAUGCUCUUCCUCAGUAACCAGUAGUGACAGGAAGGUUUCAGCCAAGAUCAAAAGAAGUUUCUGUCCAGUUACACUUAAUGAUCAAAACAGUAUCACUGGUAUCUUCUAUCAAUGAAUAAAGAUAAGUACAGAAAAUUUCAAUGUAGGUUUAGUAUUUUUCAUUGGUGUCUCCGGACUGCCAUCACCCUAGUUGGUCCUAACCCCGGUUCUACAACUGGAUAAUCUAAGAUUGGUGUUCACAUCUAAACAUCUAGCUGAGAUCGAGAACAGUCAAGAAUCUGUAAAAUUGCAGUCCAAGUCCAGGGAUACCAAGUCCUCCAACCUGACAGACAAACGUAAUGAGACUCUCUAGUGUGGAAUCACUGAAUGAGGUAUUAUGUUUCGGCCCCAGCAGGAGAGUGAGAGCCAAGACAACUGUUUAUACAGAGGACUGGGGUUUGGUUCCUGGCGGGCAGGUCACAACUGCUUGUAAGUCCCUUUCCAAGAAACCUAAUACAGUCUGGCCUCCUUGGGCACAUGCACAUAAACCCAUGCAAUUUCACACACACACACACACACACACACACACACACACACACACACACAAAUAUAAGCAGUAAAUAAAUCUUUGAAAGGGGAAAAAGAACCUGUAUAUUUGUAUUAGAGGGAUUUUGCAAGAACAAUAAAGAAACUUUCUUCUCCAUGUC